UUCGUAUUGUUGUGAGAGAGGUGAAAUUCUUAGACCACAGCAAGACGAACUACUGCGAAAGCAUUUGCCAAGAAUGUUUUCAUUGAUCAAGAACGAAAGUUAGAGGUUCGAAGGCGAUCAGAUACCGCCCUAGUUCUAACCAUAAACUAUGCCAACUAGCAAUUUGCUUUGUAUUUUUUAUGACUAAGUGAGAGGCCACGGGAAACCUAAGUAGGGUUAUGGGGGAAGUAUGGUUGCAAAGCUGAAACUUAAAGGAAUUGACGGAAGGGCACCACCAGGAGUGGAGCCUGCGGCUUAAUUUGACUCAACACGGGAAAACUUACCUGGUCCUGACACUAGAAGGAUUGACAGAUUGAUAGCUCUUUCUUGAUUUGGUGGAUGGUGGUGCAUGGCCGUUCUUAGUUGGUGGAGUGAUUUGUCUGGUUAAUUCCGAUAACGAACGAGACUCUAGCCUAUUAAAUAAUACACGGAAUCUUGUCUUCCGCGGUAUUUCUUAGUGGGAUCAAGCGUGUUUAACGCUU
rnacentral:rRNA from 1 species